AUGGGACGACCAACGGGCGGCGCCUCGGCGUCGAAGAAGCCCAAGGCCAAGUCCAAGCCGAAGCAGCGCGGCGGCGUCGACUUCAAGAAGUACAAGCACAAGGUAGGGCGCAAGCUCCCGCCGCCGAAGAACGCCACCAACACGGAAAUCAAGUCCAAAAUGAUCGUGCUGCCGGAGCAGACCAUGGCGUCGGAGAGGGCGGGCAUGGCGGUGAACAAGCGCGGGCUCACGCUGCGGGAGCUCCUACAGCAGACGGUGCACUACAAUCCCAAAGUGCGGCGAGCUGCAAUGAACGGAAUAAAGGAUCUUGUCACCAAGCAUCCAGCGGAGCUUAAACUGCACAAGGUUGCUAUGAUUGAGAAGCUGCAGGAACGGAUAUGUGACAGUGACAAGGUGGUUCGUGACUCGUUGUACAGUUUACUGCAGUCUCUUGUAUUCCCAUCCUUGAAGGAGGACAAUGCAAUGUCUACCCGCAGUACACUAUCUCUGUUGAUGGCAAAUGUUUUGAAUGGAAUGACACACCUAUCUAUGGAUAUCCAGUUAAUGGCUUUCAGGUUUUUGGAGCUCGUGGUCCUCAAUUUCCCAUCCUCUUUUCCCAGAUAUGCUGAACAGGCUUUCAAUAACUUCGUUGCUGUACUGAGCAACGACAGAAUCCAUCUGCAGGAUAAGAGUAAACUUAACAGUGUCCUUGCCGGGCUUGCCCACUGUCUUUCCUUGGUUGCUCGUGUGACGGAAAAUGGUGAUGCAUCAAAUCGACUGGUUCAUAACCGUCCUAUGGGAGAACUUUGGAAACCUACUCUUGACGAAGAUAACCCUGGAAGUGGAGCAUUUGCAACAUCUGAUGUACUAAUGAAACUUCAGAACCUCAUCCGAAUUCUCGUUAAUUCGAUAGAGGUUUCAGCUUCAGAAAUCUGUGCAAAGCCAGCUAAUGAUGCUCAGUCAAGUGAAGCGUUAUUAUCAGCCCUUCAUUGUCUGCAUCUAAUAUGUACAACAUUUAUUCACGAGGCAAAGAAAUCUCAGAUGGAAUUUGGUAGAUCAAAAACUCAGCUUGGGCCUGAUUGGCUGAAUAGUUCUGUGUUGGUAUAUCUAAAGAAAUUAUGGGGAGUGAAACGCUUGUUUCAUGAGAAGGGAGAUGACAGAUUUUUCGUCUUCAAUCUGAAAAUUGCUGAACUCUUUUUGUGCUUGAGCACAUAUGUGGACGAUACAAUGUUUCCAGCUGAGGAGUUAUGCCAGUUUGUAUCUUCUUUAUUUGCAAAGUCAAAAGUACUUCGCAACAAGGAUCUCAUGGAAACGCAUUUGAGUCCACUUAUAACUUGUAUACCGGGUCUUAUAGCCAAUUGUGCAGAUGACUCAAAAGGGUAUUUGUUGGAGGCAUUUACAGAUGCAUUUAGAGAUUCCAAGGUGGAUUGCAAGCUAAUGUUGCCCUAUUUGGAUGCAGUGGGAGAAAUGCUACUUCCUGAGAAAUCACGGAUAUGGUUUACUGAAAUUGAUUUAGGCUUAGCGGAAUAUCGUAGCGCUUGGAUAGGCGAGCUUCCUAGAAUAUUACUACAAUCAAUUGAGAAAGCUCCCUCAGUUACAAAGGUUGUUUUGGAGCUUCUCCUAAAAGUCGGACAGUAUUUCCCUACAACUGAGUUUGGAAACCUGCGUCCCUUCAUACAGUUAUUUGGCACUAAAUCAUCAUCUGGAACAGUAGAGGUUGGGCCUUUUGUUAGCCUUCCACAUGAUUGCCAAGAACUUGUCAUUUCAUGCCUUUAUUACUUCUCCAGUCUGCUCCCUGACACAAUCGAGCCAUUGGCCUGUUGUUGCUUAAGUGAUAAGCUGGAGUCCCUCAUGUUAAUUAGGAUUAUUGAAGUUCUACAAUCAACAUACAAGGCUGGGAAUCUGCAGAUAACAGACCAACUCAGUUUCUUGUCAUUAUUAAUGGCACGAUUUAAUGUUAAUUGUGGUAUGUCCUGUACUCUGGAGGAUGCUGAAAAGGUCUCAAAUUGGAAGACUUUCAAGACCUUGAAUCACUUAAUUUUGACUUACUUAUCUGAGAUGGGUGAUGGCUCCCUGGUCCUUGAAUUGAUGUGGAAUAAUUUAUCUAAUGAGAUUGCACGAAAACCAUCAUUGCAUAACAUGAAUGGUCUGUUUAGAAUUAUUGUUACACUCGAUGCAGCAACAAAUAAGCUCAUGAAUGAAGAUUUCAUUAAGCUUAUAGCUGGCUACUUGGUCGAUGCUGCUCUGGAUUUGUCAAAAACAAAUGAAGUGGGCUUUCAAUCUGAUAAGACAAGAUUAUUUCAAUACUUCAUAAAGCCCUGCAUAAUCAUUUUUGAACAGAAUGACAAGGUUCUCUGCUGCACAUUGGAGAUGCUUAAAUCCUUCGCAGCAGAUGAGCAUAGAUUUUCAUCUGUCUCCAGUUUAGAUUACCCAAGGGAGCUUUCACAACGAGUUUGUGUUGUCACAACCAUACUGGUCUUCUUAUUCAAUGAUCGGAGGCUCCAUCCAAAUCUUUCUUUGAGUAAAACGGCUAUCAAAGGCAUCCUGCAUUAUAUAAGGCAUCAGCUGGAUUCUAAUUUGCCUGAUGUAACAUAUGGACAAAAGCAGAAAUUAAAAUUUGCAUUUGAGCAACUCAAGACCAAAGCAUUGCAGUUGAACUGUUGGGAUAGAAGUGAGCUUGAAGGGGAUUUCAAGCACCACAUAACGUCAUGCACAGCCAUCCGAUGA
rnacentral:rRNA from 1 species